CUCUGGUUCCCUUGUGCCAACCCUGGCAUGUUCAGAGGCCGAGACCUUCGUCCCUCUAUUCUCCCACGUUUCCUUUGCAAAGAAGGUUAAGAAUAAGAUAAAGACACCAUGGAGAGCCCCUGUCCAACACUGCAGAAACGGCUGAUGGGAUCUAAAGUGGGAUGCUUCAUGAGUGUGGGGAGCAUCAAGCCUAGGCGUAUGGAGCACCCUCUGGGAGGUAAAGUGAACAAAGUGAAUAUCAGAACCUGUCUUUGCAAGAGACUCUCCUCCCUUCCAUAAUUAUCUCCAUCCCUGUGGACAUUAGGCUGAAGUAAUGGAAUGUGAGUGCAAUCUCAUCAGUGGUUUUAGAAACCCAGCAAAACAAGUGACAAACUGCUAUAGACUGCUCCUUCACUUCACACCUGACAAAAGCAGUGGAAAACAGUCUUCUGGGUCCCCCCUCCACAAAACAAGAGAGUUGUAAAGAGGUUUUUGACACCUUUUCAUCAGCCUUCAAAAUGCCAAGUCUGGUUGAAAGGCUUGGGAAGAGCUUUAUAUAAGAAAUGUAGCUUAUCUAGUUGUCUUGUUCAAUUAAGUGUAUUUGUCCUGAGUUUUAUAAAAUAAAUUUGAUAUACACUGGGGUGAAA